CUUGGGUUUUUCUUUUUUUGGUACCAGGGAUUGAACUCGGGACCUUGGGCUUUCGAGUUCCAGGAAAACAUCGUGUGUAAUUGAAAAUGUUGAGGACAACAAGCAGGACCCUGUGGGAAGAUGAGAAGAUUUUACAGAGAGAUACUAGCCCAUGAGGGGAGUGUUCAUCAGGCAAGACAGGCAGACAGGAAAAAGCCAAGUCCAGAGGGAGUCAGGAUGAUCCAAAGAAGGACAAGAUAAAAUGAAGCCUGGGACUGAGAACUAACAAAAACCCAGGCCCCAGGAUGGGGACAUGAUGGCCAAGGCCAGGACCCUGGUGGCCUGAUGAGCAAGGGUCCCAUUUAAACUAGUGGGAUCCUCCUGUGAUAAAAACAAGGUGAUAGAUAACCAGUCCCACCAAGCCUCCAUUCUUACUCCCCUCUGAAGAGUGCCUUUGUUUUACUCAUGCUGGUAAUUUUAGAGAAGUUAUAAUUAAUGGUGCUUGCAAAAUUCUGCUUGCUACAUAUCCCAGGUUCUAAGGAGUUCUAAGUUAAGCCCACUUCUAAGUCAAACUUUCCUGCUUAUAACCUCAUAGGAUGACCUCAACUCGGCCCAGAGUGGUGUGAGAUGUAAUCAUUUUUGUGUAUAAAAACCCCUAGACAAAGAGAUCCUAUAGCAACUGACUUGAGUCUCCUCCUGGUAUCGAGAGCUUUCUGCUUUCACUCUAUGAUAAAUUAUUUUGCUCAUUUCUCUCUUGAUUCUGCCUCAUAAUUCUUUCUGGGUUGAGAGAAGAACCCUGGAGCAGGAUGGUAACAGAGCUAUUCCAGAUAGAUUAACUUGGACUUUGCUUGGGUUUGCAUUAUAG
rnacentral:lncRNA from 1 species